CCUACGGGAGGCAGCAGUGGGGAAUAUUGCACAAUGGGCGAAAGCCUGAUGCAGCAACGCCGCGUGAGCGAUGAAGGCCUUCGGGUCGUAAAGCUCUGUCCUCAAGGAAGAUAAUGACGGUACUUGAGGAGGAAGCCCCGGCUAACUACGUGCCAGCCGCCGCGGUAAUACGUAGGGGGCUAGCGUUAUCCGGAAUUACUGGGCGUAAAGGGUGCGUAGGUGGUUUCUUAAGUCAGAGGUGAAAGGCUACGGCUCAACCGUAGUAAGCCUUUGAAACUGGGGAACUUGAGUGCAGGAGAGGAGAGUGGAAUUCCUAGUGUAGCGGUGAAAUGCGUAGAUAUCGGGAGGAACAUCAGUGGCGAAGGCGACUAGCUGGCACAUAACUGACGCUGAGGAGCGAAAGCGUGGGUAGCAAACAGGAUUAGAUACCCCAGUAGUC
rnacentral:rRNA from 1 species